rnacentral:rRNA from 1 species
GUGGGGAAUAUUGGACAAUGGGCGAAAGCCUGAUCCAGCCAUGCCGCGUGUGUGAAGAAGGUCUUCGGAUUGUAAAGCACUUUAAGUUGGGAGGAAGGGCAGUAAGUUAAUACCUUGCUGUUUUGACGUUACCAACAGAAUAAGCACCGGCUAACUUCGUGCCAGCAGCCGCGGUAAUACGAAGGGUGCAAGCGUUAAUCGGAAUUACUGGGCGUAAAGCGCGCGUAGGUGGUUUUGUAAGUUGGAGGUGAAAUCCCCGGGCUCAACCUGGGAACUGCCUCCAAAACUGCAUGACUAGAGUACGGUAGAGGGUAGUGGAAUUGCCUGUGUAGCGGUGAAAUGCGUAGAUAUAGGAAGGAACACCAGUGGCGAAGGCGACUACCUGGACUGAUACUGACACUGAGGUGCGAAAGCGUGGGGAGCAAACAGGAUUAGAAACCCCUGUAGUCC